GACCAACACUUCUCAAAGUAUGCAGCACACCGACAAAAUCAAGUGUUUAUCAUCGUGCUUAACAAAAUUGGAUGCACACACAAGUUGACUAUGUAUCUCAUUUCUAUGAUUCUAAAUGAUUAAUGAGACAUCAGCAUACUCUUGAACGGUGUAAGUGGCAAGCAUGCUCAGACUGAGCAGUUUCUUAAGAGAAUGUACCUCAUGAUUGCACAUUGUAACACACGGUCUCAACUCUUAAAAACAGCAAAAUCGAAGGCAGCACCCAAGCUGAUGGAGACAGCAGCUUCAUCAUGCAAACUAUGGUUUACAUGUAAGGAAGGAACAUUUCAUAUAUACCGGGUAAAGGGUGAGGUUAAAUUGCCAACUACCAAGUAAAAUUUUAGCACUACUCGGACUUGUUUAUCUAAAAAUAGAGCGUUCAAGUUCAGCUAGGAGGCCAAUCUAAUAUGUCCUUACUCCUUUACACAAACUUUACCCCUGAGUAUUGCUGUUCAAAAUACUGCACGCAUUAAAUUAAGUGAACUGGUAUGUUUAUGUAACCAUAACACUCUUACCAUAAGUGAACUGGUAUGUUUCUGGAUUGGAAUUUGAUAGUAUGCCUAAAGCAAAUCUUGCUUGUUGGUAAAAUGUGAUUGCAGAUUGAAAAUCUGAUCUCGCUUCAUAAACGAAUCUAUUUAUAUUGUGAGACUCUGGGUAAUGAGGUGACAAUAAACCAUGUAUAACUUGGAGCUAAGAAAAUUUGACAACCGGAAACCUGGAGAGGGCCAGAGGGGGGG